rnacentral:rRNA from 1 species
GACAGAGGUGGCAAGCGUUGUUCGGAUUUAUUGGGUGUAAAGGGCAGGUAGGUGGUUGUAUAAGUUUGGUGUGAAAGCCCACGGCUCAACCGUGGAAAUGCACCGAAAACUGUAUGACUUGAGUACCGGAGAGGUGAAGGGAAUUCUCGGUGUAAGGGUGAAAUCUGUAGAUAUCGAGAGGAACACCAGUGGCGAAGGCGCUUCACUGGCCGGUUACUGACACUGAGCUGCGAAAGCAAGGGGAG